AUGAAGCUAGCUGCUGCCUGCAACUCGAUGGUGGUGAAGGCGAAGCCGUCGAGGGGCGGGAAGAGGACCAGGGCGAGCGGCGGCGCAGCAGGGGCGACGGCGGCAGCGGCGGUACUGAUGGAGAAGAAGGACUCGGAGAAGGAGAGGAGGCAGCGCAUGAAGGGGCUUUGCGAUAAGCUCGCGUCCCUCAUCCCCAAAGAACACAACCCCCACGAUGAUACAAUGACCCAGCUAGGCAGCCUAGAUGUGGCAGCAUCAUACAUCAAGAUGCUCAAGGAGAGGGUUGAUGAGCUUCAACGUAAGAAGACCACUGCGCUAGCAAUGGCUACCUUACAAGGAGUUAGUGGCAUCUCGAUCCCCUCUACCACGAGUAGCGGUGCUGGGUCACCGGAAAGGGAAAUGUAUUUGAAGGCAUCGGCACCGGUAUUGGAGGUACGGCAACCUAAUGAUUCAAGCAUGGAGGUGAGGAUGAUAUGCAACACAGAGAAGCCGAUCAAGCUCCAUGAGGUGCUCACCAUCCUGGAGGAAGAAGGGGCCAACAUUAUCAACGCGAAUCACUCUGUUGUUGGCCACAAAAUAUUUUACACCAUACUCUCCCGGGCCUUCAGCACCAGAAUUGGCAUAGAUGAUUCAAGAAUUUCUAAACGACUAGGUGCACUGGUUUGA
rnacentral:rRNA from 1 species